AAAGAGUCCCUCCCGACUGUUUACCAAAAACACAGCACUCUGCUAACUCGUAAGAGGAUGUAUAGGGUGUGACGCCUGCCCGGUGCUCGAAGGUUAAUUGAUGGGGUUAGCAUUAGCGAAGCUCUUGAUCGAAGCCCGAGUAAACGGCGGCCGUAACUAUAACGGUCCUAAGGUAGCGAAAUUCCUUGUCGGUUAAAUACCGACCUGCAUGAAUGGCGUAACGAGAUGGGAGCUGUCUCAAAGAGGGAUCCAGUGAAAUUGUAGUGGAGGUGAAAAUUCCUCCUACCCGCGGCAAGACGGAAAGACCCCGUGGACCUUUACUACAGCUUGACACUGCUACUUGGAUAAGAAUGUGCAGGAUAGGUGGGAGGCUUUGAGUAUAUGACGCCAGUUGUAUAUGAGCCAUUGUUGAGAUACCACUCUUUCUUAUUUGGGUAGCUAACCAGCUUGAGUUAUCCUCAAGUGGGACAAUGUCUGGUGGGUAGUUUGACUGGGGCGGUCGCCUCCCAAAUAAUAACGGAGGCUUACAAAGGUUGGCUCAGAACGGUUGGAAAUCGUUCGUAGAGUAUAAAGGUAUAAGCCAGCUUAACUGCAAGACAUACAAGUCAAGCAGAGACGAAAGUCGGUCUUAGUGAUCCGGUGGUUCUGUGUGGAAGGGCCAUCGCUCAAAGGAUAAAAGGUACCCCGGGGAUAACAGGCUGAUCUCCCCCAAGAGCUCACAUCGACGGGGAGGUUUGGCACCUCGAUGUCGGCUCAUCGCAUCCUGGGGCUGGAGCAGGUCCCAAGGGUAUGGCUGUUCGCCAUUUAAAGCGGUACGCGAGCUGGGUUCAGAACGUCGUGAGACAGUUCGGUCCCUAUCUGCCGUGGGCGUAAGAAGAUUGAAGAGAUUUGACCCUAGUACGAGAGGACCGGGUUGAACAAACCACUGGUGUAGCUGUUGUUCUGCCAAGAGCAUCGCAGCGUAGCUAAGUUUGGAAAGGAUAAACGCUGAAAGCAUCUAAGCGUGAAGCCAACUCUAAGAUGAAUCUUCUCUAAGCUCUCUAGAAGACUACUAGUUUGAUAGGCUGGGUGUGUAAUGGAUGAAAGUCCUUUAGCUGACCAGUACUAAUAGAGCGUUUGGCUUAUCUUUAAUAAAGCAU
rnacentral:rRNA from 1 species